GGAGGCGCCCAAAGGUUCCCUCAGAAUGGUUGGAAAUCAUUCGUAGAGCGCAAAGGCAGAAGGGAGCUUGACUGCGAGACCUACAAGUCGAGCAGGGACGAAAGUCGGGCUUAGUGAUCCGGUGGUUCCGCAUGGAAGGGCCAUCGCUCAACGGAUAAAAGCUACCCUGGGGAUAACAGGCUGAUCUCCCCCAAGAGUCCACAUCGACGGGGAGGUUUGGCACCUCGAUGUCGGCUCAUCGCAUCCUGGGGCUGGAGUAGGUCCCAAGGGUUGGGCUGUUCGCCCAUUAAAGCGGUACGCGAGCUGGGUUCAGAACGUCGUGAGACAGUUCGGUCCCUAUCCGUCGUGGGCGCAGGAAAUUUGAGGAGAGCUGUCCUUAGUACGAGAGGACCGGGAUGGACGCACCGCUGGUGUACCAGUUGUUCCGCCAGGAGCAUCGCUGGGUAGCUACGUGCGGACGGGAUAAAUGCUGAAAGCAUCUAAGCAUGAAGCCCCCUCCAAGAUGAGAUUUCCCUUUGAGUAAUCAAGAAAGACCCCUCAGAGACGAUGAGGUAGAUAGGUCACGGGUGGAAGCAUGG
rnacentral:rRNA from 1 species